AUGUAUAGUAUGGUGUAACCAUAGGUAUGAACAAGUCGGUUGAAGUGUGCCGAAACCGACGUAUGCGGUAGGCCUGUAAUAAAGAGGGCAAAAAUAAGCAGUGUCUUUGCCAAAGAAAAUAUUACAUAGAUAAACAUAGUGCAAAGAAAAUACCUCAAGAUGACAGUUUAACAAAGCCGCCCUAAUUUCUAACACAGGUUGAGGUAUAUACAAAGCAAAUGCUGAGGACUUCCAGCGGCCCAAAGACUUGAUUACAUGUAUUGGAAUAUUUUGGCUGUAGGCUGCCCCU